rnacentral:rRNA from 1 species
UACGUAGGGUGCGAGCGUUAAUCGGAAUUACUGGGCGUAAAGCGUGCGCAGGCGGUUUUGUAAGCCAGAUGUGAAAUCCCCGGGCUUAACCUGGGAAUGGCAUUUGGGACUGCAAGGCUGGAGUGUGGCAGAGGAGACUGGAAUUCCUGGUGUAGCAGUGAAAUGCGUAGAUAUCAGGAGGAAUACCGAUGGCGAAGGCAGGUCUCUGGGCUGACACUGACGCUCAUGCACGAAGCGUGGGGAGCAAACAAGGAU